UAGAGUCCGAGUUGUAAUUUGCAGAGGGCGCUUUGGCUUUGGCAGCGGUCCAAGUUCCUUGGAACAGGACGUCACAGAGGGUGAGAAUCCCGUACGUGGUCGCUGGCUAUUGCCGUGUAAAGCCCCUUCGACGAGUCGAGUUGUUUGGGAAUGCAGCUCUAAAUGGGAGGUACAUUUCUUCUAAAGCUAAAUAUUGGCCAGAGACCGAUAGCGCACAAGUAGAGUGAUCGAAAGAUGAAAAGCACUUUGGAAAGAGAGUCAAACAGCACGUGAAAUUGUUGAAAGGGAAGCGCUUGCAGCCAGACUUGCUUACAGUUGCUCAUCCGGGUUUCUACCCGGUGCACUCUUCUGUAGGCAGGCCAGCAUCAGUUUGGGCGGUAGGAUAAAGGUCUCUGUCACGUACCUCCUUUCGGGGAGGCCUUAUAGGGGAGACGACAUACUACCAGCCUGGACUGAGGUCCGCGCAUCUGCUAGGAUGCUGGCGUAAUGGCUGUAAGCGGCCCGUCUUGAAACACGGACCAAGGAGUCUAACAUCUAUGCGAGUGUUUGGGUGUCAAGCCCGAGCGCGUAAUGAAAGUGAACGGAGGUGGGAACCCGCAAGGGUGCACCAUCGACCGAUCCUGAUGUCUUCGGAAGGAUUUGAGUAAGAGCAUGGCUGUUGGGACCCGAAAGAUGGUGAACUAUGCUUGAAUAGGGUGAAGCCAGAGGAAACUCUGGUGGAGGCUCGCAGCGGUUCUGACGUGCAAAUCGAUCGUCAAAUUUGGGCAUA
rnacentral:rRNA from 1 species